AUUGAACGCUGGCGGUAUGCCUAACACAUGCAAGUCGAACGAGGUAGCGAUACCUAGUGGCGGACGGGUGAGGAAUACGUAGGGAUCUGCCCUUAAGCGGGGGAUAACCCGGGGAAACCCGGAUUAAUACCGCAUGAUCUCGCAAGAGCAAAGAGGGGGGACCGCAAGGCCUCUCGCUUUUGGAGGAACCUACGUCGGAUUAGCUAGUUGGUGAGGUAAUGGCUCACCAAGGCGACGAUCCGUAACUGGUCUGAGAGGAUGAUCAGUCACACCGGAACUGAGACACGGUCCGGACUCCUACGGGAGGCAGCAGUGGGGAAUAUUGGACAAUGGGCGAAAGCCUGAUCCAGCAAUGCCGCGUGAGUGAUGAAGGCCUUAGGGUUGUAAAGCUCUUUUACCCGGGUACUGAUAAUGACAGUACCGGGAGAAUAAGCCCCGGCUAACUACCGUGCCAGCAGCCGCGGUAA
rnacentral:rRNA from 1 species